rnacentral:rRNA from 1 species
GACGAACGCUGGCGGCGUGCUUAACACAUGCAAGUCGAACGGUAAGGCCCUUCGGGGUACACGAGUGGCGAACGGGUGAGUAACACGUGGGUGAUCUGCCCUGCACUUCGGGAUAAGCCUGGGAAACUGGGUCUAAUACCGGAUAGGACCACUGCCUGCAUGGGUGGUGGUGGAAAGCUUUUGCGGUGUGGGAUGGGCCCGCGGCCUAUCAGCUUGUUGGUGGGGUGAUGGCCUACCAAGGCGACGACGGGUAGCCGGCCUGAGAGGGUGACCGGCACCACUGGGACUGAGAUACGGCCCAGACUCCUACGGGAGGCAGAAGUGGGGAGUAUUGCACAAUGGGCGCAAGCCUGAUGCAGCGACGUCGCGUGAGGGAUGACGGCCUUCGGGUUGUAAACCUCUUUCAGCACCGACGAAGCGCAAGUGACGGUAGGUGCAGAAGAAGGACCGGCCAACUACGUGCCAGCCGCCGCCGUAA